rnacentral:rRNA from 1 species
UACGGAGGGUGCAAGCGUUAAUCGGAAUUACUGGGCGUAAAGCGCGCGUAGGCGGCGAUUUAAGUCGGAUGUGAAAGCCCUGGGCUCAACCUGGGAACUGCAUCCGAUACUGGGUCGCUCGAGUAUGGUAGAGGGUUGUGGAAUUCCACGUGUAGCGGUGAAAUGCGUAGAUAUGUGGAGGAACAUCAGUGGCGAAGGCGGCAACCUGGACCAAUACUGACGCUGAGGUGCGAAAGCGUGGGGAGCGAACAGG